rnacentral:tRNA from 1 species
AGAAAGAUAGGCUAUAUUUAAGCCUAAAGGUUCAUAACCUUUUGAAAAGUGAAAACUUUCUUUCUA